rnacentral:tRNA from 1 species
GGGGAUAUAGCUCGAUGGUAGAGCAUUCGACUGCAGAUCGAGAGAUCCCAGGUUCAAACCCGGGUGUCCCCU